GACGAACGCUGGCGGCGUGCUUAACACAUGCAAGUCGAACGGUGAAGCUCCAGCUUUCUGGGGUGGAUCAGUGGCGAACGGGUGAGUAACACGUGAGCAACCUGCCCCUGACUCUGGAAUAAGCGCUGGAAACGGCGGCUAAUACCGGAUACGAGAAGGGUCCGCAUGGGCACUUUCUGGAAAGUUUUUCGGUUGGGGAUGGGCUCGCGGCUUAUCAGCUUGUUGGUGAGGUAGUGGCUCACCAAGGCGACGACGGGUAGCCGGCCUGAGCGGGCGACCGGCGACACUGGGACUGAGACACGGCCCAGACUCCUACGGGAGGCAGCAGUGGGGAAUAUUGCACAAUGGGCGCAAGCCUGAUGCAGCGACGCCGCGUGGGGGAUGACGGCCUUCGGGUUGUAAACCUCUUUCAGCAGGGAAGAAGCGAAAGUGACGGUACCUGCAAAAGAAGCACCGGCUAACUACGUG
rnacentral:rRNA from 1 species